UACGUAGGGGGCAAGCGUUGUCCGGAAUCAUUGGGCGUAAAGAGCGUGUAGGCGGCCCGAUAAGUCCGCCGUGAAAGUCCAGGGCUCAACCCUGGAAUGCCGGUGGAAACUGUCGGGCUGGAGUCCGGAAGAGGCGAGUGGAAUUCCUGGUGUAGCGGUGAAAUGCGCAGAUAUCAGGAAGAACGCCAACGGCGAAGGCAGCUCGCUGGGACGGUACUGACGCUGAGACGCGAAAGCGUGGGGAGCGAACAGG
rnacentral:rRNA from 1 species